rnacentral:rRNA from 1 species
GGUGGUAAAAGCACUUUUAAGCGGAGGAAGGAGGCUUCUUUUGUUUAUUACCCAAGAUGAGUGGACGUUACUCGCAGAAUAAAGCACCCGGCUAACUUCUGUGCCCAGCAGCCGCGGUAAUACAGAGGGUUGCAAGCGUUAAUCGGAAUUUACUGGGCGUAAAGCGCGCGUAGGCGGCCAAUUAAGUCAAAAUGUGAAAAUCCCCGAGCUUAACUUGGGAAUUGCAUUCGAUACUGGUUGGCUAGAGUGUGGGAGAGGAUGGUAGAAUUCCAGGUGUAGCGGUGAAAUGCGUAGAGAUCUGGAGGAAUACCGAUGGCGAAGGGCAGCCAUCUGGCCUAACACUGACGCUGAGGUGCGAAAGCAUGGGGAGCAAACAGGAUUAGAUACCCUGGUAGUCCAUGCCCGUAAACGAUGUCUACUAGCCGUUGGGGCCUUUGAGGCUUUAGUGGCGCAGCUAACGCGAUAAGUAGACCGCCUGGGGAGUACGGUCGCAAGACUAAAACUCAAAUGAAUUGACGGGGGCCCGCACAAGCGGUGGAGCAUGUGGUUUAAUUCGAUGCAACGCGAAGAACCUUACCUGGCCUUGACAUAGUAGAAACUUUCCAGAGAUGGAUUGGUGCCUUCGGGAAUCUACAUACAGGUGCUGCAUGGCUGUCGUCAGCUCGUGUCGUGAGAUGUUGGGUUAAGUCCCGCAACGAGCGCAACCCUUUUCCUUACUUGCCAGCAUUUCGGAUGGGAACUUUAAGGAUACUGCCAGUGACAAACUGGAGGAAGGCGGGGACGACGUCAAGUCAUCAUGGCCCUUACGGCCAGGGCUACACACGUGCUACAAUGGUCGGUACAAAGGGUUGCUACCUAGCGAUAGGAUGCUAAUCUCAAAAAGCCGAUCGUAGUCCGGAUUGGAGUCUGCAACUCGACUCCAUGAAGUCGGAAUCGCUAGUAAUCGCGGAUCAGAAUGCCGCGGUGAAUACGUUCCCGGGCCUUGUACACACCGCCCGUCACACCAUGGGAGUUUGUUGCACCAGAAGUAGCUAGCCUAACUGCAAAGAGGGCGGUAACCCCACCGGUUGCCCGAAUGGGCU